UACGGGGGGGGGCAAGCGUUGUUCGGAAUUACUGGGCGUAAAGGGCUCGUAGGCGGCCAACUAAGUCAGACGUGAAAUCCCUCGGCUUAACCGGGGAACUGCGUCUGAUACUGGAUGGCUUGAGAUUGGGAGAGGGAUGCGGAAUUCCAGGUGUAGCGGUGAAAUGCGUAGAUAUCUGGAGGAACACCGGUGGCGAAGGCGGCAUCCUGGACCAACACUGACGCUGAGGGAGCGAAAGCCAGGGGAGCAAACGGG
rnacentral:rRNA from 1 species